AUGUUCAAGUUGUGCAACAUGAAGCCAGCUUUGCCAACCACUUUCCCUGUGCCAGAUUUCCAUGAGCGAGAGUUGUGUGACAAGAUUGAUUUUGAUGUUGACCAGAAUCUGUUCUUCUCGAGUGAGGCUGAAAAGAACCCAGUUGACAUGGAGGAAGCAGGGAAGGGUCUUGAUUGGGUUCAUUCGAAGGAGAAAUACAAGGAAUAUUUGAAGCAGCUUCCAGAUAUCAACUCUAGCAAGAGCAAGGCAGCAUCUGUGGCAAACCCUCAUGUGGUCCAGAAGAGUAAAGGAGUUACAAUGAAGAAGAAUCCGAAGUUGCCUCUAACCAAGCAACAGAUGUCGAGGGCAGAUGCAGAAAUAAAUGUGGACAAGGAAGCUGUGGCGCAAACUGUUGUGCCAACUAUCAAGGGGAAGAUUGCUCUGUCAAUAGCCCCACCUAAACCAGCUAAGCAGCAAAAGAUUGUCAAGUUUGCCAAGGGCACAAAGUAG
rnacentral:rRNA from 1 species